rnacentral:ncRNA from 17 species
AUCCGCGGGGCCGUAACGGGUGCCCGCAAGGGCUUAAUCGGGAAGUCCGGGCAGCGACGUCUUCGCUGCAUCUGCGGCACUGCUCCCGCAACUGUGACCGGUGAGCGCAUCGCCACUAUGCCAUUGAACGGGCACACCCUGUUCGAGAAGGCGGCGAAAGGCGCGGCGAUCCGGAAAGUCAGGAAACCGGCCCGCUACCGUCGUUCCUUC